rnacentral:rRNA from 1 species
GCACCCGCGGUAAUUCCAGCUUCAAUAGCGUAUAUUAAUGCUGCUGCUGUUAAAAAGCUCGCAGUUGGAUCAAGAGUACAACCGUGAAGGUUGGCCCAGUUUGUCAUCGUGGCCUCGGUUGCGGUGGCGGCUCGGGAGUAACCGCCUUCACCAAGCGGUUGUCUCUAAUAGGUGGAAACGGCUCCCGGUGAGUAGGUCCCUUCAUUGGGAUUGAAAGCGCAUACGCGUUAACCAUACGCAUUCGGGGCGUCCACCAUUGUUACUGUGAACAAACCAGCGUGUCCAAAGCAGGUUCCGCCUGCAUGUUCGAGCAUGGAAUAACAAGGGAUCGAUCCUCUCGGUUCUUUUUGUUGGUUUUUAACCUGAGAAGGAGUAAUUCAGACCUGGGUGUCUGAGUCGGGUUUCCCUAGACUUCGGUUUAGGCCCCGAUUAGGCCCUGUCCUUACGGGAUCAAUAGGGACUGCCGGGAUCGUAAGCGAUCGUCAGCAAAGGUAUUAGUCUGGAAAAUUAAAUAUUCAAUUGGCAUGCCACAGAAAGCAAUGGAUUUCUAAUAGACGUGGAUUCUAUUAGUCUGGAAUCUAUUAGUAAAUAAAAAUACAUGGAUUCCGGGCCCCGGGCAAAAGCUAAUAGAAUCAUUUCUAAUGAUUUCUAUUAGCCAUAAAAUAAUGAUUGUUUUGCGAAAAGCUUAAAACGACAAGGAAUAUAAUGAUUUCUGGCAGUUUUGGGACCCCCUAAACUGCAAAAAUACAGUGAGUUGUAUUAGUAAAUAAAUGUAUUAGUAAAUAACAAUUAACGGUUGACGCCCCCCCGAGCGCCCGGAUUUCUAAUAAACGUGAAUUCUAUUAGUCUGGAAUCUAUUAGUAAAUGAAAUACUCGGAUUUGGGGUUCCCGGGAAAGGGCUAAUAGAAAUCAUUGCUAAUUGCCUUUGCUGACGAUCUCUGUACUUCUACGUCAGAGGUGGAAUUCUUAGAUCGUAGAAAGAUUAACUUCUGCUAAAGCAUUCGACAAGAAUGUCUUCAUUAAUCAAGAACGAGAGUGUGGGGGUCGAAGAUUAUCAGAUACCGUCGUAGUCCACUACUGUAAACAAUGCCGUCUCAGGAUCGAGAGGUGAACCUAAUGACCCUCACGGCACUAACCCCUGAAACGAGAAAUCAAAGAUUAUGGGUUCAGGGGGGAGUACAUUCGCAAGGCUGAAACUUAAAGGAAUUGACGGAAUGACACCACCAGGCGUGGAGCAUGCGGCUUAAUUUGACUCAACACGGGGAAUUUUACUAGGUCAGGACAAUGUAAGGAUUGGCAGAUUGAGAGCUCUUUCUCGAUCCAUUGUGUGGUGGUGCUUGGCCGCUCCUGGUUGGUGGAGUGAUUUGUCUGGUUGAUUCCGUUAACGAACGAGAUAUCGACCUCUAAAUAGGCGGCCGUGACGAUUUGUAGUCUCAUCUCUGCAGCCUAGCUGAUUUGAGUGGGACGAGUCAGCGGCAAUACUUCUUAGAGGGACUGUCUGCGUCUCUAGCAGGCGGAAGAGCGAGCCAAUAGCAGGUCUGUGAUGCUCCUAAAUGUCCUAGGCUGCACGCGCACUACACUGAUGCAUUAAACGAGUCUGAUUGGCUUUGCCAACCUAGCUAGAAGUAGCUGGGAAACCUUUUGAACUUGCAUCGUGAUGAG